rnacentral:rRNA from 1 species
AGCUCCAAUAGCGUAUAUUAAAGUUGUUGCAGUUAGAACGCUCGUAGUCGGAUUUCGGGGCGGGCCGACCGGUCUGCCGUUGGGUAUGCACUGGCCGGCGCGUCCUUCCUUCCGGAGACCGUGCCUACUCUUAACUGAGCGGGGGCGGGAGACGGAACGUUUACUUUGAAAAAAUCAGAGUGUUUCAAGCAGGCAGCUCGCUCUUGCAUGGAUUAGCAUGGGAUAAUGAAAUAGGACUUUGGUGCUAUUUUGUUGGUUUCGAACACCGAAGUAAUGAUGAGAAGGGACAGUCAGGGGCACUCGUAUUCCGCCGAGAGAGGUGAAAUUCUCAGACCAGCGGAAGACGAACCACUGCGAAAGCAUUUGCCAGGGAUGUUUUCACUG